ACACUCAUGUUUCUCUUCAUAUCGUACAAAUCUUUCGCCUUUUACUAAAGAUUUCCGUGGAGAGGGGCACAAUGAGUAUAAACAACCACUUAGCGAUAGCCAGAAGACACUAGCA
rnacentral:snRNA from 1 species